rnacentral:rRNA from 1 species
GGAGUUUGGGCCGUGUCUCAGUCCCAAUGUGGCCGUUCACCCUCUCAGGCCGGCUACUGAUCGUCGCCUUGGUGGGCCGUUACCUCACCAACUAGCUAAUCAGACGCGGGUCCAUCGUAUGUCGAUAGAUCUUUUCACACUGUACCAUGCGGUACUGUGCGCUUAUGCGGUAUUAGCAGUCGUUUCCAACUGUUGUCCCCCUGCAUACGGCAGGUUACCCACGCGUUACUCACCCGUCCGCCACUAAGUAUAAACAAGAAUUGACCGAAAUCGCUUCAGCGUUUACACUCCGUUCGACUUGCAUGUGUUAAGCACGCCGCCAGCGUUCAUC